UUUCCGAAACAUAGCUCUGUUUGGUUCCGGAGAAAUCUGAGGGAAAGAAAAAAGAGGACUUUAAACAAAGAUGAGCUUAAUUGGGGGUUUUGUAUGCUCAAGAUUCUAAUCUCUCCUCCUUUCCCACAUUUUUAUCGGCAGCCAAUGACACCCAAAUCACAAUCCCGAGCCCUACACUUCCUAUGUCCUUAAUCAACUCUGUAAAGCAACCAAUGCAAUACUCUCAAUGAGGAUCACAAACCAUUUAGCAUUUUGGCAGAAAAUUGAGAUUUUUGAAGUCCAUAUGGUGGAUCGAAGGUGCUCCUUUGAAUUUGGGACAGUCUACUUUCUAGUGACAGCAUCCUAGGGUGGAUGGUCUUUCGACGCAUCAUGGGCCAGAUGGCUCUUUGGCAUGAAAGUUCCAUGUGGAUUGCGUGUCGUGUUGGAAUUUAUUCGUUAGCUUGGUGAUUAGGAAUUUAUAAGUAAUAUCAUGUUAUUAGUCUUAGCCUAUGUAUAUUACUAUAUCAGAAGAUGUUUGAUUACGUUGUGUUUAAGCACAGUAGUUAUUGUUUGGUGUAUGAUGGUUUGAAAACUAAGAACUGCUGGAGCAGGAGGAUGUUUUUGUGGGACAGAGGUAAUUAAAGUCUAACUGAUUUUAAUCAGUUUUACCUGGCUUGUUUCAGGUUUUAAAACUAGUGACUGGGACUAUCUUAUCAAAUUGAAUCUUUGUGAAUAAA